UAGAGCCUACGGAUGAGUCAACUUAUGACAACCCUCUGGUUCAUCCUCCACCUUCGCUGCUACCACCAGAGAACAGUUCUCAUGACCAAACACGUUCCCACAGAACAUAUGCUGCGCACAAACAACUCGAAGUGACUGGGUGGAGGGACAUUCACGACAAACUUCUCGCAACUGGUAUAGAGCUGUCUGCAGUGCUCCAACAUCCUUCUUCUGCAUGAUUUGUAAGCAGGAACAGCCCAUGGACAUCUAUAGGUGCCGAGACAUUCUGUUUGAGCUGCUUGGAGCUCCACCAUGAGAAUUCGCUCAACCUCCCAGAAGUAUGGACGAAUACAAGUACGUUUCCAACCCACAUGGAUCCUAAAGCCUGUCUGUGGUGCUGUGACGACUAUAGAUGUACAACUGGAUCAUCACCCAGAGUCCUUAAAGUGUAUGAUGAUGCAGGUGUGUAAUGAUCUCUUCACUGUCACUGACAGUGACAAAAGAUAUUGCUCAUGGAUGCUAUCUAAACAGGUCUGACCAUUUCCAAAAUCAUAUCCAGUAGCUUCAUUUGGCAUAUCAUAUUUCCUUCAAACUUCAUUGACAUGUGUUAUCAGUGUUGUCUGUUCAUCUCCGUAUCCUGCUUGUAAGUUGUAUUACUUCAUUCAUUUGUGAAGAAAAUGAAAUUGGAGAAAACAAAAUUAAGAUAAGAUGCUGGGGUAGGCAGAAGCAGUCAGCCAGUUUUCACACUGUGCUUCCAAAUGGUUCUGUCCAGCAGGUUCACAUUGGUUGUCUUUUGUUAGAUGGUAUGGUGGUGGUAGAAAGAAGUUCAUACAUGUAAAUGAAAUGUACCUCAGUAUAAUAGAGACAUUAUGUCAAUUAUGGUAUUGAAAAUAACACUUCUAGUAUACUAGUAGCUACCAUGAUUCAAAGCGAAGUGUUAAUUGAUAAAUCUUUCCUUAUUUUUUUAUUAUUGAAGUGAUAUUUCUAUUAUUUGGCAGGACGACCACAUGUUGUGGCUGUGCUCUUCUAUCACUGUGAACCGGAACCAUUCACUCAUCUCUGACUUGGACUGUGGCCAGCAAGAACAGACAGACCUGAAACAGCAUUUUCCGUAUCUCUUCUAGAAUGUCUGGUUUCUUUCAGCCCAGUAUGCCUUGUCUCUGUGGACGGUUUCUGCACCGCACUGCGAUGGAGGAACAACCUUUCUCUUCAUGAGCUCACGGUACAGCUCCUGUUAGGAGUUUCAGAAGGUCUGCAACAGGCUGCCCAGGAAAGGGAUGGAGUCACUUUUAAUAGACAGUCCUGUGGGGAGGUAGGAAGGGGAAAAGCAGCAGGAAGGACAAAGGAGGCUAUAUAGAGAUACCUCCUUGGAAGGACAAAGGAAAAGGGAAGAAAAAGGGAAAGAGGAGGUGCCCCAAAAUCAGUUUGAUUCAGAAGAUGACAUCCCUCUUACUGAACUGAUGCCCUACGAAAAAUGAGAUGGCUGUACUAGUAUGCAUGAGAGGCAGCUGAGAGGGCUAUAUUAGCCUAUAUGCGCAUAUACCUACUACCUACAACAUAACACCUCAUUUUGAUUUCUUACAAUAUUAGCACUAUCCUGGCUAGUCAAAACACAAUGUCUAGGUGAUGAGUUAAGUUAAAGUUAAAGUAUCUGAGUGUUGAAUAAAAUGUAAAAAAUAUUAGCAAACAGCAAAAUAUGAUGAUUUAGAAAUAGAUAAACAGACAUGUCAUAUUCUGAGAAAAGCAAUGGUGUUUAUUUUGUUCAAUGUGUUUGCAACAUGAAUUUCGAUGCCGUCAUUAGAUGCGACUUAUUCAUUUACACUUAGAUUCCUGUACCUCAAUGACAAUCUGCGCAUUGAUAUAAUACUUUGCAGUGACAAUAACCUGUUACAUCUGGAAACAAUGUUAUAAAAUGAAGGACAUAUGCCUAUAAUAUUUGUUGCAUUAACAGUUAGUGUUUCACAGUCACACAAUA